GAUGAAGAACGUAGCGAAAUGCGAUAAGAAAUGUGAAUUGCAGAAUUCAGUGAAUCAUCGAAUCUUUGAACGCACCUUGCGCCCUUUGGCUAUUCUGAAGGGCAUGCCUGUUUGAGUAUCGUGAACACCUCAACUCUCAUGGUCUGCCAUGAUGAGCUUGGACUUUGGGGGUCUUGCUGGCCUACUGUCAGCUCCUCUCAAAUGAAUCAGCUUACCAGUGUUUGGUGGCACCACAGGUGUGAUAACUAUCUACGCUUGUGGUUUUCUGCCAGGUAACCUCCAGUGAUGGAGGUUCGCUGGAGCUCACAAAUGUCUCUCCUCAGCGAGGACAGCUUUUUGAACGUUUGAUCUCAAAUCAGGUAGGACUACCCGCUGAACUUAAGCAUAUCAAUAAGCGGAGGA
rnacentral:misc_RNA from 1 species